CCAGGCAGACCUUUGCUCAGAGAUCAGCACCCGACAGGGGCCUCUGGCCUCAGUGAGACCUCAUGAACAACCUGUGGCCCUCUACAUCCUUACAGAUCCCCAACAAAGGUCUAAGUGAAUCCUUUCACACCUAAACCAUCCCUCCCAACUCUAAACCUCAAGGAGGGACAGGAUCAACUUUAACCCCAAAUCCAUCUGACUCUCCAGCCUUUGGUGUCAGGCCAAGCCUUGAUUGGUCACUCUUUUGACUCUGAGGCUCACAGUGAAUCUGAGGAGAGCUGCCUUCUCUUUGACCUGAGAUCUCUAUCUUCCUGACACCAGCUCUGUGGGGCACAUCCUUAGUUCUAAGCCAGCCCAUCAUAGAUCUGCUGCCUGUUCAGGCCAUUGGAUCUCAUCCUCCUCCUCUGACUAUGUGCUCCGUGAGCAGAAGACCAAGGUCUGACCCAGCAGGGAGCCUGGAGCCAGAGGGAAUGUCCCAUGGGAGCUGCAGACCUCCAGCCCAGGUAACUGGGGAAAAAUAAAAUACUAAAUAUGAAUACUAUGAAAAGAAAAUGCAGUCAGAAGGAGACUCACAUGUGACAAACAAGGAGGCCUAUGUUACUGCAUCCUGAGUACAUGGAAAGGACUGAGAUAAAGAAACUGAGGCAAAUAGAGGAAUUGUGACUUGCCUACUGUCACCCAGGCAGAAAGUGUCUGUGCCUGGAUUUCAACUCAACUCUUUCUGACUCCAGACAUAGUGCAUUGUGCCACCCGGCUGCCUCAUGGUGGAAGAUAACUUUGCACCAGAGUGGAUGCUUCAAAUAGAGGAGAGAGGAGGAUAACAGACUUUUCAGACAGUGUUCCAGCGAGUCAUCUGGGAACAAUAUGGAUAGAAGAAUAGGUGGGCUGAGGAAUGGGGAUCAGGACACUCCAAUGACCAAUUACUAGUGUUGAUCUCACUCUG